GUUAAAUAUAAUUACCUGAGCAACAGCAUCCCAGGUAGUUCAAUAUCGAUGUGCAAUGCACUCAAUAAAUUUAAAGAGGAAGUCUGACUUUCAAUUUGCUGGCUCAGGUUAGAUUUUUGUAUCCCAGUGUUUUCCUUUUCAGGCAGUAACCAGUAAGAUCUCCUGUCUCAAACAUCACUUAAUACCAGCUAAAAUGGCCUGGAAUAUUUGUUGGAGAUUCAACUGGCAAAAAAACACACACAAGCUAUUUUUGGCCCAUGGAAAAGCAUAAACAGUGAGAGAUUGCAAAAUCGACCUAUUUUUUUCCUUCUUCUCAUUCACUUUGAGCGAUGAUUGUUGCAAGAGGGUAUUCUGUGCAAAGCUAUGUCAUUUUCUGGGUCACUUUUGUUGUCACAUCAAAAACAAUAUACAAAACAGGCAUUCUGUGAAAAAAGAAAGCUAUCUCUCUCCGUUAAUGUUUGUUUAGCACGCGAAUGAAACACUAAGAUGAUGUCACAAAGGAAACUAGACCCAUUCUUCUAUAGGCCUAAAAAGUCCCCAACUUUCGUACUUUGAAAAAGUACAACAUCUGAAAUAAAAAUCCAACAUUUUCACCAAAGUAAUCAAGGCAGUAGCGAAAGUUUA